AGAGUUUGAUCCUGGCUCAGGACGAACGCUGGCGGCGUGCUUAAUGAAUGCGAGUCGAGCGCUAUCCGGUCAACUUCUUCGGAAUGCGACUGGGGAGAGCGGCGAAUGGGUGAGUAGCACGUGGGCAACGUGCCCUGCAGACGGGGACAACAGCGGGAAACCGCUGCUAAUACCCGAUAUCAUACCGGGUGGCAUCACCUGGCUAUGAAAGUUCCGGCGCUGCAGGAUCGGCCCGCGGCCGAUUAGCUUGUUGGUGAGGUAAUGGCUCACCAAGGCUACGAUCGGUAGCCGGUCUGAGAGGACGGACGGCCACACUGGGACUGAGACAUGGUCCAGACUCCUACGGGAGUUAGCAUCAGGGAAUCUUGCACAAUGGGCGAAAGCCCGAUGCAGCGACGCCGCGUGAGGGAUGAAGGUCUGCGGAUCGUAAACCUCUGUCAGGAGGGACGAAGUUCUGACGGUACCUCCAGAGGAAGCCACGGCUAAUCACGUGCCAGCAGCCGCGGUAACACGUGAGUGACAAGCGUUGUCCGGAAUUACUGGGCGUAAAGAGCACGUAGGCGGUUUGGUAAGCGGAGGGUGAAAUUCCAGGGCUCAACUCUGGAACUGCUCUCCGAACUGCCAGGCUAGAGUACGGGAGAGGGCAGUGGAAUUCCUGGUGUAGCGGUGGAAUGCGUAUAUAUCAGGAGGAACACCGGUGGCGAAGGCUGCUGCCUGGAACGUUACUGACGCUGAGGUGCGAAAGCUAGGGGAGCGAACGGGAUUAGAUACCCCGGUAGUCCUAGCUGUAAACGAUGGACACUAGGUGUUGGAGGCAUCAACCCCUUCAGUGCUGUUUUGCUAACGCGUUAAGUGUCCCGCCUGGGGAGUACGGCCGCAAGGUUGAAACUCAAAGGAAUUGACGGGGGCCCGCACAAGCGGUGGAGCAUGUGGGUUAAUGGGAUGAUACGCCAAGAACCUUACCAGGGCUUGACAUCGUAGGGACAGCCUGUGAAAGCAGGUCUCCGGAGCAAUCCGGUCCUAUGACAGGUGGUGCAUGAUUGUCGUCAGCUCGUGUCGUGAGAUGUUGGGUUAAGUCCCGCAACGAGCGCAACCCUCGCCGGAUGUUGCCAGCGUAAAGCCGGGCACUCUUCCGGGACUGCCUGAGUAAUCAGGAGGAGGGAGAGGAUGACGUCAAAUCUGCAUGCCCCUUAUGUCCUGGGCUGCACACGUGCUACAAUGGCGGGUACAAAGGGUAGCCAAACCGCGAGGUGGAGCCAAUCCCCUAAAACCCGUCCCAGUUCGGAUUGGAUGUCUGCAACUCGACUCCAUGAAGUUGGAAUCGCUAGUAACCGUGGAUCAGCAACGCCGCGGUGAAUACGUUCCCGGGCCUUGUACACACCGCCCGUCAAGUCACGAAAGCUAGCAGCACCCGAAGUCCAUCACUGAUGGCCGAAGGUGAGGUUAGUGAUUGGGACUAAGUCGAAACAAGGUA
rnacentral:rRNA from 1 species